rnacentral:rRNA from 1 species
GAUGAACGCUGGCGGUAUGCCUAACACAUGCAAGUCGAACGGAAUCUUCGGAUUUAGUGGCGGACGGGUGAGUAACGCGUGAGAAUCUGCCUUCAGGAUGGGGACAACAAUUGGAAACGAUUGCUAAUACCCGAUAUGACGAAAGUUGAAAGAUUUAUCGCCUGGAGAUGAGCUCGCGUCAGAUUAGCUAGAUGGUGUGGUAAAGGCGCACCAUGGCGACGAUCUGUAGCUGGUCUGAGAGGAUGAGCAGCCACACUGGGACUGAGACACGGCCCAGACUCCUACGGGAGGCAGCAGUGGGGAAUUUUCCGCAAUGGGCGCAAGCCUGACGGAGCAAUACCGCGUGAGGGAGGAAGGCUCUUGGGUCGUAAACCUCUUUUCUCAGGGAAGAACAAAAUGACGGUACCUGAGGAAUCAGCAUCGGCUAACUCCGUGCCAGCAGCCGCGGUAAUACGGAGGAUGCAAGCGUUAUCCGGAAUGAUUGGGCGUAAAGCGUCCGUAGGUGGUUCUGUAAGUCUGUGGUUAAAGCGUGGGGCUCAACCCCAUAAAGGCCAUGGAAACUACAAGACUUGAGUGAAGUAGGGGUAGAGGGAAUUCCCAGUGUAGCGGUGAAAUGCGUAGAGAUUGGGAAGAACACCGGUGGCGAAAGCGCUCUACUGGACUUAUACUGACACUGAGGGACGAAAGCUAGGGGAGCGAAAGGGAUUAGAUACCCCUGUAGUCCUAGCCGUAAACGAUGGAUACUAGGUGUUGCCCG